UAAACGAAUGAAAAAUAAAUUAUCGGACCACACUAAGCACCACCUCCUUGGCCGGCUCAAUCUCCCUUGAGCUGGCUUUU
rnacentral:sRNA from 1 species